rnacentral:rRNA from 1 species
UACAGAGGUCUCGAGCGUUGUUCGGAUUCAUUGGGCGUAAAGGGUGCGUAGGUGGCGUCGUAAGUCAGGUGUGAAAUCUCGGGGCUUAACUCCGAAACUGCAUUUGAUACUGCGGUGCUUGAGGACUGGAGAGGAGACUGGAAUUUACGGUGUAGCAGUGAAAUGCGUAGAGAUCGUAAGGAAGACCAGUGGCGAAGGCGGGUCUCUGGACAGUUCCUGACACUGAGGCACGAAGGCCAGGGGAGCAAACGGG